rnacentral:rRNA from 1 species
UACAGAGGGUGCAAGCGUUAAUCGGAAUUACUGGGCGUAAAGCGUGCGUAGACGGUUAUGCAAGACAGAGGUGAAAUCCCCGGGCUCAACCUGGGAACUGCCUUUGUGACUGCAUGACUAGAGUACGGUAGAGGGGGGAUGGAAUUCCGCGUGUAGCAGUGAAAUGCGUAGAUAUGCGGAGGAACACCGAUGGCGAAGGCAAUCCCCUGGACCUGUACUGACGCUCAUGCACGAAAGCGUGGGGAGCAAACAGG